UCUCAAAGUCGAACCAUUCUCGCAGUUUUGCUAUAACUCAUGUUCACUCGUAAACAACCAGGUUGUAAAGAUCAAACAUCAAAAUGCAAAACUUCAAAUAGCCCAUUCGUCACCAUCCAACAAGUAGAAGUUUCAAAAGCGUCAUUCGAAUAUAGAGACCAUUCUUUGCUUGUCUAAAAUAUGCAGCCCUUGGAUCCGCAUCGACAUCCACAGUUAUCUCAUCAAGCCUCGGGAGAGGAUGCAUGACCACAGCAUGUUUUUGCAUCACAUUUAACACUUCACGAUCCACAAUGUAUUUGCCUCGAGCUUCUUCAUAAAGGUCAAUUCUCUCUCCAAACCUUUCUCGCUGAAUGCGAGUUUGAUAUACAACAUCACACUUUGAAGCCACUUCCAUUAAAUCAGCACUUUCUUCCCAUUUAACACCCUUUGAUGUCAAAUAGUCUUUUAUAUCAUCCUUCAUUUUUACCACAUCAGGGGAGACAAAAUAGAUAGUCACAUCUUGGUAUUUGGCAAGCAAGUAUGCAAGAGAGCGAACUGUCCUCCCAUUGGCAAGAUCCCCCACAAGUGCAACUCUAAUGCUAUCCAAUUUACCUAUCUCUCGA
rnacentral:misc_RNA from 1 species